CAAUCUUUCCGUUUCCCGCCGAGGUCGAGUGCACAGAAGACAAUGUGUGCAACGGCAUGAACAUGGCAGAUGCUGUCGAGGACGAAGAGUGAUUCUACUGUGACGGAUGGACGAUCUGUUGCCGGCCAACUGCCUGACAAAAAAAUAUUGGAAUGUGUGCAAGCUAGUGAAAAACACAUCCUGUGUGAAGACAUGGAGGCUUCCGCUGCUAUCGCAUUGUGAAGAAAGUCACGAGAUGCAGAGUAUUGCAGCUUCCACAGUGCUUUUGUGUAAAAUAAGAACAUGAUUUGCCAAUUCGUUCAGCAAAUAAAUGUGUGUUGAUGUAGCAUGCACUUUAUUGUUUUUGUGCAACUCCAAAUAUCAGUAUAAUAGUACCAGCUGCUGAUUCCAGCCUUGUUAUGUUUUAUGUAUAUAAUUUUAUUACAGUGAGAGCAAUGCACAGUUCUCUAUGUAGUGCCUCUGUGAAUCCGAGGUGUCAUUAAACGGACACUAAACGCAAAUAACAAUUUAUGUCAGAGUGAAAGCCUAAUGUAUGACAACGUCUAAAACGGCAAUAUUAUCAACGGCAGUGCCCUACUUACCGAGAAAUUAAGCUAAAUAUAUCACACGAUGAUGUUGCCAGAUGCCCGAAUGGUGCAUGCCACCAGUGCACGCCACCGCGCGCGCAGUAAAGGCGGGCAACGUUGGGAACGGCAACAGUGACGUGAGAAAAACCGCUUUCAGGCGGGUGAUUUGAAGUGCGCUAACGCGAUGCGGACCACUAAAACGGGAUUUUAUUUCAAAAUAAGCACUUCCUUGGCACAAAAGUAGCACUACACGGUUUCUGGACCGCUAUUUCAACAAUCAACUUCGACUUAAUAUUUGCCUUUAGUGUCCCUUUAAG